GUGAUAAUGAGGAACAUAACUCUGAAAUUUAGAACCAUUGAAAUCUCCUGCUAUUAAUUUAACUGCUUCAGGUGACAUAUUUUCAGUCUUACACACAGCAUCAUAUAACAGACUUUCUGCAUUUUUUAUAUCCACAUAUUUUGGAGGAAUAUAAACUACUAUUAUGAAAAUCUUGUUAAAUUAUCUUGGUAAAUAGUAAGGUCUCACGGAAAGUGUCAUGUAUUCAAUGCAGUCAUUACAGACUUUCUCAAUCACAGUUAUAUCCCUGCACCACCUGUUGUUUACGUAAGCACACACUCCGCCACCAGCACUUUUUCCUGAGUCUGGGGUUCGAUCGCUCUUUAUUAAUUGAUACCCAUCAAUAUGAUAUGCUGAGUCGGGAUCGUUUUCACCACUUAACCAAGUUUCUGUCAGACAAAUGAUAGAUGCCUCUCUGAAUGCAUAAUUCCACUUGCACAAAGCACUAAGUUCAUCAAACUUGUUCCGUACUGAACGAACAUUUCCGACCACACACAUAGGGAGAGAGAGCCGGGCGCUGCGUCGUCUGCACCUCACCCUCACACCACCCCGCCUUCCUCUCCUUUUGUUAUUUCUAGUUUUUCCCUCUGGAUGCAACACCUUCCUUUUCACAGCAUCUGGCACGGUCACAGCAAAUGUCUCAACGUUGCUAGACUUUGCUAACGUUAGCAGAAUAUCCUUGCCAUAAAUCAGUCGUUCCUGCUGUUUGUUUAUAUCCGGCGGCUCAUCAGUCCGGGUAGACACAGCGGCCACACUCACAGAACAGCUCUGUAGCACCCACCAGAAGAGUAGAAAGCAAACUAUUCGCGUCAUCAUGAUGUCUGUAGCUUCAUAACUCGCCAGGCAACUCAGGAAUACCAGCAGCCUUCCAAUUCCAUUAAAAAUACAAUGAAGAAAAUCGGAGCGAGUCAAGGAAUAUAAAUACUUAGGAACAAUAAUUGAUGAUAAAUUUUCUUUUAAUAAUAAUGUUGAGACACUUUACAAAAAAAUCAAUUCUAGAAUGUAUUUUGUAAGGCAAUUAAGUAAACUAAGAAUUGACAGAAAGAUUAUGGAUAUAUUCUAUUCAGCAAUAAUACAAUCUGUUCUUUCGUUUAAUAUAACUUGCUGGUACGGAAAUUGUAACAUUGAAUUAAAAAACAAACUUUGUAAAAUAAUGAAAAAUUGUGGGAAACUUGGGGUUGAGAACAUCAUCCCUCUUGUAGAAAUUUAUAAGAAAGCAGUUGUCCGGAGAUGUGAGGUAGUACGACAUGAUCCCAUUCAUCCUUUAAACCAAUAUUAUCAAAUGUUACCCUCUGGAAGAAGGUUGAGGUCAUUAUACUGUAGAACAUCAAGAUAUUCAAGAUCUUUUGUACCUAGCAGUAUUAAAAUGUUAAAUGAACAACAGACAAUCUACCAGUAGCACAGACUGGGUUUGUUCCUGUGGCCUGUAAAUGACCAAUGUGUGUGAGUAGUACGAGGAGUGUAUGACGUAUGUGCGGUUUUAUCACUUUUACUGAGAGCUCAUGAAGCAAUUUUCAUGUAUUAUACGUGACAAUAAAGUAUUUAUUAUUAUUAUUAUUAAGUUGCGAGGCGUUGUCAUUUCCUACCACGCUCAAAUCGUGGGUCACCACACUCUACACGUGCUAUCUUCCCUGCCGCUUCUACCUCUUCUCCGCUCCUGACUCAUCCCCGUGGUCACACCUGUCUGCCAUCACACCUGUCGCCGCCUAUUCCUACUCAUCACGCCGCUCCUCUUUGCUGGUUGCCGUUCAUGCUUCUUCCUGAAUUGUGGGUAUCCCUUGGUUCCUUCUCCGAGCCACCCCCAACUCUCCCAUCCGAGUACUCGAGGUCAAGCCUCAUCGCCACCACCACUCCCCACCCAGCCCUUCUCAUGUCCGGACUCGCCCAAGGUCAUCUUUCCAAGUUUGCUCCCAGCAGUGAUUUUCCCAGUCAUCAGGGGCCAGAUCCACGAAACGGUUAUUAUCAACCUCCGGCAGCCAAAUGGUAUCCAAGAACGCAUAAGAGGCAGACCUAAUCCUCUUGUUUGAGAAGAUGCAGUCUCAGCUGGAGAGAAGAACAAGGCAUAGCCAGGCAUUACCAACUCACACCCAAGUUUUGUUGGCCCUGAGAUUGUUUGCCAGUGGGUCCUUCCAAAACGUCAUUGGAGACACUGCAGGACUUACGCAAGCGUCAGCAGGGUCUUCGAGUGUGUGUGCAUCGUGUUGAGUGAUAAGUCAGUGCAAGAAAUCAAGAUGCCUUCAACACACCUUGAUCAAAGGAGGACUGCACAGCAGUUCUUCAGGACCGAAAAUUUCUUAAGAGUUAUUGGGGCCAUUGAUAGCACCCACAUUGCCAUCAAGGCCCGAAGAGUGGACAAGGCCCUCUACUUUAACUGGAAAAGCUAUCACUCCCUCUGAAAAUCCAACUUGUUUGUGAUGCGAAUGGAGUGAUCCUCAGCUACUGCUUCAGAUUUUUCAGGCUCUCUUUUGGAUCUUCAUGGCAGUUUCCACAACAGCAAACACUGCAAGCUUGACCACACUGAUCUUGUCUCCAGUGAAGCUAAGAGUGGGAAUGUUUUUACCAAGUAUGUGUUGUGUUGUGGAGUUUUUAGUUUAGUUUUAAUCACUGUCCUUCCUUAAUCUGUUACUGGAAUCAUGAAAACACCCUUGCAAACCAUAACAACAUGUGCUAAAACCUGUUAAAGUAUCAUUAACCCUUUUAAACCAUUACUUGAAUCACAGAAACAUCCUUGCAAACCCUGACAACAUCCACUGAAACUUGUUAAACUGUCACUAGCAUUACUAAACCAUUACUUGAUCAUAAAAACACCCUUGAAAACCCUGGUAACAUCCAUUAAAGUCUGUUAAACUAUUACUAACCUUAUUAAACCAUUACUUGAAUCAUGAAAAUGCCCUUGAAAACCCUAAUAACAUCCACUAAAGCCUUUUAAAUUACCACUCCAAUCACGGGAGCUCCAAACACUAUUAGAGCCUGUUAAUAAAGAAAAGGCACUGGGAUAUUGGGGAAUGCACAUUUCAAGCUGUAGCCUUACCUCACAUCCUUAACUCUCAUAACAGGGCCUUUGUUGGAGGCGAAUGAAUGUCACUGUCUGCAUUACCAGAAGAGGCGCGUCUGAAGUGACCAAGAUAGGAAGGUACGUGGACUCCCAGGAGAGGCUGUACCAGUUCCUCACAUAUGCUGGCCAUCACUAGCAGACCUCUUGGGUGGUUUCCAAGACCCCAGCUUGGCCUUCAAGACACUUAACCAUACCAGGGUCUUCCUCCAGCAGCUCACCAGAAUAUAACUGGAUAACUUGCCUGCUGCCAGUACCUCCAGGCCUCUAGAGGUUGUGGCACCACAGCCUGCACAGCCCCUCAAAUCCCCAACAAGAACAAGAACACAACAGGAUAGUGGGAGUGAUGGCUUCAAGACACACUGCCACUGUACAGGGCAGCUGUUACUCUUGUACAUCAUGUGCUGCUUACAAGACUGUGCCUAAAAAUCUGAGAGGAAAAAGUAAAAGCUCACAGGACUGGUUGACGAGACAGCUAAAUGACCCUUAUGUGAAGUUGACCAAGCAACAUCAGCGCAGGCAUUGUCCAUGAUGCUUCCUGUGUUGUGGUUCCAUCAUGGCAAGCAUGGAAGUGCCUCUCACUCCAUCACCACCUCAUGAUCAUUGAGAGCAUGGACACAGAAGCUGAGG